UACAGAGGGUGCGAACGUUGUUCGGAAUCACUGGGCCUAAAGCGCACGUAGGCGGCACCGCAAGUGUGGGGUGAAAUCCCACGGCUUACCCGUGGAACUGCCUGGCAGACUGCGGUGCUAGAGGUUGGUAGGGGAGAGCGGAACUCUUGGUGGAGCGGUGAAAUGCGUAGAUAUCAAGAGGAACACCGGUGGCGAAGGCGGCUCUCUGGUCCAAUCCUGACGCUGAGGUGCGAAAGCUAGGGGAGCAAACGGG
rnacentral:rRNA from 1 species